UUUAGGGAGACCCACUUUUCAGUUAGUUAGAACUAGUUACUGAGUAACUAAUAACUGAAGAGCCAUCCCGAGGUCGAUCACGAGUCAAAGCUCUAAGCUUUCAAACUAUGUAUUGGUUCACAUUACUUUGUUAGGGCAAGCUAAUUAAUGAAAUUAGAUUUUUAUCUCUUACCGAGAUUUCUAAUUUUCAAAAUUAGAAUGUACUAUGUGAAUUUUUGCUGAAAAGCAAAAUUGUUAAGAUGAGUACAAUUUCAGCAUCUUGUGAACAGAAGCAAGACUGCUGGAAAGAAUCCAGCAAAAGAACCUUGAAAACUGCAUAGAAACGCGAAAUUUGUCAGGUAGUCAACUAAAAACAGUUAACACUCCAAACAAAAACACCAAUGAUUGU
rnacentral:misc_RNA from 1 species